UAUAAAGUAUUUUAUAAAAAAAUAGAGUUUUGAAAAAGCUCAGAAAAAUCUUUUUGAUUUCUUUAUGU
rnacentral:tRNA from 1 species